CUGCCCCUCCUCCACUCACGUGCUCACUCUCUCUCUCUCUCUCUCUCUUAAAAAUAAGUAAACAUUAAAAAAAUUAAAAAAUUUUUUAAAGUGGUUUGUACUAAUGAUGGAUUGAAUUCCUGGCUUCACGCUGGUCUCUACUGCCUGUUUUGUGUCACUGCAGACAGAAAAGGGUAAAGCUUGGGCUCUGGAGUCAGUUCGUCCAGGCUCUGCCAUUAGAAAACUAUGAGAUCUUGGACACGUUACUUAACCCUCUCUAAACUGCAGGAUUUCUCAAUUCUCAAAGCAAAUAAUAACAGUACCCACUUAACAGGAUUGUGAGGGGAAAUGAGAUCAUUAACAGACACUGCAUUUAACUGGGCUUCAGCUCAAUAAAUGUUAGCUAUCACAAUAAAAAUAUGUAAAUAUUAUUAGAAUUCUCAAGGAAGCAAAAGGGAGAGGGAAGGAAAAGAGGAGAGAGAAUGCCUUUGAAGUUGUAUUAUCAAUCUGAUGGAGACUGAAGGGGAGACUGAAGAAGGAAAGGAGGAAGAAAACUGGAAGAAAUGGAAAGGGGGAUGGAGAGAGAAGAAUAUCUCAGGUUAUGAUUCCUUGAGUCCAAAUCUUUCCACAAUCAUUGCAUAGAUAAAUCCCCAAAGGCUUGGGAAUGAUAAGGGAUCUGAGGGUCUGCAUUCACAAAGUCAUUGUGACUACAAAACAGCAGCACCAGCCUAUCACAUGAGGGAAGUGUUAAGUCUUGAGUACACUUUGGUCAAGACAGAACAUCCAACUUUCUAUUAUUCCUCUGGUACAAAGAAGUGCCUUUGUAAUUGUAGGGCAGGUCUAAGAUGCUUUUGUAUUCUGGACAAGUAAUCCUCAAAGUGGAGAGGAAUGCACUCAAGGAGGUAUCCAGAAUGAUCCACUGGGGUGUGGGAAGAAAACAUCAGAAACUCAAUUUUUGUUCACUUUUUAACCCAUCCUUUAAACAUUUCUAAUUUUUGUUUAUAUGUUAUAAAACAUUUACUAAAAUACCUAGUAUGUUUGUAAUAUAUAAAUAAAUUUAUAAUAUAUAUACACACACAAUACACACACACACACACACACAAAUAUUAGAGGCUCAUGAUUAAGUCUUUGGAGAAACAUGACCAAACACUUGGAGAAAAUUGUUAUAGUGCACUAGGCAUGUUUCAAAUACUUAGCAUGACUUCACAUACACACACAGAUAUCACCUCUUCCCUGUCCUUUAUAACAGUGGGCUGUUGUAACCAGAAAAAAAAAAUGGUCUUGGUUAUCAGUCCAAAGAGAGAAGUAUUUUGCCAAAUAAGAAGAUUUUUUAUUCCCUUAAACUCCAUUAUUUGGGCAAUAAUUCAAUCUUAAAUACCCCAGUGCUCCUGUAGUCAUGCUAACAACCUAUCUCAAGUUUUCCCUCUUCCCUAGAAUCAUGCUAAAUAUGACUUCAUCACCACUCCUCCCUGCUUUCUAGAAAGUUUUAAAAACAGUCUUCCAAUUCUGCAGAAAUUAUGAAACUGACCUAAAUAAAUAACUGUUGGAGUCAAUGCCAGGGCCAAAGACUGUGUGACCUCAAUAUCAGAACACCAGUCUCCUCAUUUCCCUUUCUUGUUUACACUCUUGGUGCCCAGGGAAUAAAUAGCAAUGGCAGGAAGAUGUCUGUGAGAUCCUGGUCCGUGCCAAGGACAUCACCAGCUCAGCAAGUGUCUUCAAAGUAAAUGUUUUAAUUGUUGUUCGAGUAACAGGUUGCGACUCUUACCUUUGCUCUCUUACCCGAGGAAAAUUCAACCUACAUGGUUCAGAGCAGAAGGACAAAAUCAAUGGAGUCAACAAUACCGAUGGAAGAAUUACUGUAUUACCUAUCCUGCAACCGCCACCCCCCUAUUUUGGGUAACCACUUCACAAUCAGACUCCCCCCCCACCCCCCCGCCCCAUUCAAGUCUUCAUGGAUCUUCACUCAGUGUGCCCCAUCCAUGGUACAUAUGACCCAAGCAAAGUCAGAUACUUGUUGGAAAUCUUGAAUAGACUGAAGCAAGCGCAGGAAAGUAGUGGGAGCUGAGUUAUUCAAAUAGAGGCACCCUAAAGAGCCUGCAUAUUAGUUCUUGCUGGCUUGAUGCUUAAAGUUGCCAAGAUUUCUGACCAUCUCUGAGAGAUGGCAAAAAUGGCCUCAGAUUCUUCUUUCCUCUCUCCACGCUCUUGGGCAGUCCCUUUCCAUGUGGACUCUGAGCUGGAACAUAGGAUUCAUUUUAGUCAGGAUCAAAUACACCACAAAUGGAAACUUGAAAAGUGCUUGUGUGACGGUGCUUGCCCUCUUUUGCUGUACUUGGAACCCCAAGUCCAUGAUGCAGUGAGUCUGCAGGGGGAUAAAUGACCAUGUGGAGGAGAUGCAAGGCACCCUAGCCAACCAGGCAGUGACUGCAGACCCAUGAGUGAGCUCCUAUGGUGAACAGCUUAGCCUGGCACAGACUAGGAAUUGCUCAAGCUUGCCCGGACUGUGGAUGUGCAGAAUCUUGAGCUAAACAAAUGAUUGCUGGGGAUCUGGGUAUGUGUGUGUGUCGGGGGGCGGGGGGCUAAUUUUCAAUGUGGUUUUUAUGUAGCACAGUAAAAGCUGAUACACCAACUUCCUGGAGUUUAAGUUUUCAGCUUUUCUUCUAAUUCUGUAAACUAUCAUAUCCUUAGAAUGAAUUCAUUUUACUUAAAGUUAGUAAAGUUGGCUUCUGUUGCUUGCAAUCGAAAUUAUUUUAGUAGCCAGGUAGGAGACAGAUGACCAGAUCUUUGUAGGAAACAUGGCAAAUAUAAAUUUCUAGAAACUUCCAAACUUGUCUGUUUUUUCUUUUAAUGUUUACUUAUUUAUUUUGAGAAAGAGAGAGCAUGAGUGUGUGUGGGGGGGGGGGGUGGGGGGCAGAGAGAGAGAAAGAGUGAGAGAGAAUCCCAAACAGGCUCCACACUGUCAGUGCAGAGCCCCACACGGGGCUCAAUCUCAUGAACUGCGAGAUCAUGACCUCAGCCAAAAUCAAGGGUCAGACGCUUAACAAACUGGGCCACCCAGGUGCCCCCAAACUUGUCUGGUUUUUGAGCAAAACUAUUUUGUUACUCCUCUCCAUUCUCCCUUAUUCUUUUCACAAGGAAAUAGAAUAGUAUUCUUACUGUUGAAAUAAUAUAAGACACACUUCAAACUCUAAGUUUAGAGGGGAGGAAUUUUGAGACUCUUAUUUGAAGAGCUGUCAUCUUUGGUCUGGGUCACCCUAGACAUAAACAGGUGGGAAGAAGUUAGGCUCUGACUGCAUUAUCAAGUGGUCUGUGGACUGUGGCUCUAGCCUGGUUCAUAUCCUGGCUACUCUACCUAUUAACAUGGUGACCUUGGGCAAGUUACUUAAACGUAGUAGGCUUUAGUUUCCUCCACUGUAAAAUGGAGAUAAUAAUAAUAUUUACCUCUUAAGUCAAACAUUACAUAAAUAUUUGGUAUUAUUAUUAUAAUGAUUACUCCUUAGAGUCUAGGUUCCCUUGGGGAACAUCUUGGAAAAAGACAUUUGGUAUUGUGGGAGCUUGGAAAAAGCCAUGGAAGAGAAGGCUUUAUUGCUAGUCCUGGCUCUGCCACAAACCUGCUAUGGUCUUGGGCAAGGCUCUUUGUGCCAUUUCCCUCCCCAUCUGUAACAUGGGAUAAUCAUAAUCCCUGUUCUAGUUUGGAAGCAAAUAUGAAGUAACACACGUGAACAUGUUUCUAAACAUUCAAAAGUGCUCAAUUGCUAUUUGGUAAGGUCUAUGAUUAUUAUUCAGAUAAUGAGGUAGUUUUAGGUUCCAAAUAAGUCCUACAAUUUCUCAUGCCAUUUGAGUAGGUCCUAGGUGGAGAGUUAUUGCAUUUAGACAGAGAAAGAGAAAUGCAAAAAGCAAUCUUGGCAUAAAGAGUUAUUUACAGAUAUAUUACACCAAAACCUGUGUGUUGAGGGGUGCCUGGGUGGGUCAGUCAGUUAAGCAUCCAGCUCUUGAUUUGGUUUCAGGUCAUGAUCUCGGGGUGGUGGGAUUGAGCCCUACAUGGGACUCCGCACUGGCUGUGGAGCCUGCUUAAGAUUCUCUCUCUCCCUCUGCCCUGCCCGGCUCAUGCUAUCUCAAACAAAUUAAUUAAAUUAAAUAAAUAACAGGAAAAAAACCCUGUAUGUUGAGAGGCUUGAUUACUUAUCAGAUCAAAGAGGUCACAGCCUAGGGGUGCCUGGGUGGCUCAGCCAGUUAAGUGUGUGACUUUGGCUCAGCUCAUGAUCUCACAAGCUCAGGUCAUGAUCUCACAGUUUGUGAGUAUGAAGGCCACAUGGGGCUCUCUGCUCUCAGUAUAGAGCCCACUUUGGAUCCUCUGUCCCCCUCUCUCUCUGCCCCUCCCCCAUGCAUUCUCUCUC